rnacentral:rRNA from 1 species
UACCUGCAGCUCGAGUGGUGGCCGCUAUUAUUGGGCCUAAAACGUCCGUAGCCGGUUUAAUAAAUGCCUGGGUAAAUCGUGUAGCUUAACUAUACGAAUUCCGGGUAGACUGUUGGACUUGAGACCGGGAGAAGCUAGAGGUACUCCUGGGGUAGAGGUGAAAUUCUGUAAUCCUAGGGGGACCACCAGUGGCGAAGGCGUCUAGCUAGAACGGGUCUGACGGUGAGGGACGAAGCCCUGGGGCGCAAACCGGAUUAGAUACCCGGGUAGUCCAGGGUGUAAACGCUGCUUGCUUGAUGUUAGUUGGGCUCUGAGCCCAAUUAGUGUCGGAGAGAAGUUGUUAAGCAAGCUGCCUGGGAGGUACGGUCGCAAGACUGAAAACUUAAAGGAAUUGGCGGGGGAGCACAGCAACGGGUGGAGCGUGCGGUUU